GCCCCAGUAGCUCAGGGGAUAGAGCGUCGGUUUCCUAAACCGUGCGUCGCAGGUUCGAAUCCUGCCUGGGGCACCG
rnacentral:tRNA from 1 species